GGAACAGCAAGAGUUUUCAGUGCAGUCACAAGAAAAUGCAUUACCAAACUGGAAGGCCACGAAGGUGAAAUUUCAAAGAUUUCUUUCAACCCCCAAGGGAACCGUCUUCUGACUGGUAGUUCUGACAAAACAGCUAGAAUCUGGGAUGCUCAGACUGGCCAGUGCCUCCAGGUCCUUGAAGGUCACACUGACGAAAUCUUUUCAUGUGCUUUCAACUAUAAAGGCAACAUAGUCAUUACAGGUAGCAAGGAUAAUACCUGUAGGAUAUGGCGUUGACUGAUGGAAGCCCAUGGGCAAGCAAACUUGCUAGCAAUUGUGAUCAAGAACUGGAGCUUCAAAAAGAGCAUGCAGCUAUUUGGAUAUUUCAUGUACUUUUUCUUUUUCUACAGGUCAACUGUUUAUACACUCUGUUUUUAACUUCACAGAUAUGACCAUUAAAACUGAUGAAGUUCUAUAAUUUCUCGAUAUUAUUUGAUGGGGAUGACAGGAAACAGAAUGGUUGGCAAAUGCCACUAGAUAUUUAGGUUGUGUUUUAGUUUUUAAUAACAUUAUGAUACUGAUAAAUGAAACCAGAGUGAUUUAACAAUGUGUCUCCUAGAUUCUACUUUGAAGGUUAUUGUUAUGUAUCUGUUGACUAAAGUUGCUGGAGAAAAUUCCUUGUGAAUUGUACAUGUGUGUUUAUGAUGUAUGUUUUUAGCAUGAUAUUGGAAAAUAAAAUGAAUUUAAUUUAAUAGCAAA